UUUCCCAUCCCUAUAUCUACACCUGAAACUAACAUAGUGAUGUGUAUCAACUGUCACUGAAAAUAAAAAUUACAGCAAAGUUUUUAAUCUCAUGUACACGAGAAAACAUCCGAAGAAUGCCGUCAACACAGUACACUGCAGACAGAGUGUUGGCUGUUUACCCGCAUGCUAGUGCGACUCACUGCCCAGCAUCAUGAGAAAGGACUGUGCCACGUAUUGCUAGUGUAGGAAAAGACCAAUAUUCAAAAUCUGAAGUAAGGUUUUUACAGAAUGUGUAUCACUUUUAUGCCAUCAUAAAGUCCACCACCAUAAAGCAGGGGCCAUCUGUACUUAUGAUUUUCCCUCCAGAGUUUCUCUAACAUUCAGUUUUACAAAGAAGUUCCUCCUCCAUCCAGCUCCCAAUAAACAUGGGGCAGCAUAUGACAAUGAUUUUAAAUAAGAGUGGUUUAAUUUCCAUUUUAUACCUGUGAGAUUGUUUUUUUUUUAAACCAAAUGUAAUAAAAAGUCUAGUUAACAUUUUAAAAGGUUCACAAUCUCUAGAGGAACAGCCCGCAUAGUUAGAAAUUCCUUCCUGAUUCUAGAGGCGCUCCCCUGCCACAGCAGCCCGCAAGCUGCCCAGCCCUGACGCCAGAAACCCACCGCGCACAGCCCAGGCCUAGCUCCACUCUCCAAGGGCAGGCCUUCAGCACUGUCCUCUUGCUUCAGCUUUGGCAAGAGGCAAGCUUCCACCAAACUCGUUCUUGGAGGCCCUGGGUGGCCCAGGAACAGGUGAGUGCUCCUCAAACCUGGCUAGUGCUGAAGGUACCCGCCCUGCCUUCAGGCGUAUCUGCAGCCUGACCCUCAGCUGCUCACCCAGGAGCAAGCCCCAGUUCUCCCGGUUGCGUCCCCAGGCCCUCCUGUUCUCAGCAUAAAGUCACCAUGUGCUCCCGCUGCUGCUUCCGGACUGGGCUCACCUGUACAGGACCCGAAUUACUGAUGUUUGCGUCCACUUACUGCACUUAGAAGUCACCGUUCUAACCUGUUUCCAAAAACACUGUAUGGGUGGCUUUUAACUGGUCUUCAAGUUUCCACAGAGAAGGGGGAAAAACAGUAUCUUGCCUUUUAAAAAAGCUUUACUAAGUGAUAGUAUCAGUAAGAAUAUCAUGGCAUCAUUAUUAAGAACUCCGACAAAAGGAAAACCUGAUAGAUAGGCAGCUGUGGAAUUAGUGGGCUACUAACACCACUGCCCAAGUGCCGUGGAAAACCGUUAACGCGCUGGUAAGUUUGGUUAGCGUGAGAAACAGAUGUCGGGGGGGAAGAAGACCCCAAGUGCAGGUUGCUGGCUUCCCGUCCAGGCCAGGGGGGCGGGCUGCGGAGCCCGGCACAAACCGAGUGCGUGUGCUUCUGGACGGGCACGGAAUGUUACUGUUCUCAAGACGAAGCUACUCAAGCAAGCACCUCCGUCCUUAGCAGGAACCUUGCCCGUCUGCUGACUCAUCUUUUCUUGAGGCCCCUCUCAUAGGGAUGAAAUUUGUCACCUUAUUUGGGCUGAGACAUAACCACUGUCAGCUGCCCCUGGCACUCCUGCUGUUCUGGGCCACGCUCUCCCGAGAGACCGGAAACCCCUGAGCGUGCUGCCCGACAGGCAGGCCACCUCUUGGGAAUGCUGUGUUAUUGCUUUAAAACUACACUCCCUGCUAGAAAUAGAUGAGCUGAGAAGUGGCACCUGGCAUUGACUGAAAACACAGACAAGUCACCAGAAGGAUCACCCGCUAGUAAAGCCCAGCAUCUGGAGGAAUUCCGUGAGAACCCUGCAUCAUUCAGUCCCACCCAAGGACAGUCACUCCGCAGUCCAGUCUCGGACCUUGACCGUCUCCCAUCUCUAACAGGUUGCUUCUGGACCAGUGGUUCACGGCAAACAUGUCUGGGUUGUUGAACCAACUUCAGUUCUUGCCCUGACAACCCUUUCAUGCUGGUACCUGUAUGAUCAGUCACCGCCUCUCAGGUGACGAAGGACAGAAUGGGCAAGUGUAUGGUUCAGUUUUUGAACAAAUCACCUCUCAAAGAGCCUCCCAGAGUGAACUAAGUUCUAGAACCAAACUAUAUUUGGUAUUUCUAAAGAGGCUCAUAAAAAUGUCCUUGGGUCAUCAAGGAAGAGCUGCACUGCCUUCAGUACAAUUGGAAUAGUAGGUCAGGGGGUUGGAAUAGUAGGUCGGGGGAAUAUACACACCACAUUUGCAAAAGGUUCCCACCACAGUGCUUACAUUCCUUAGGUGGGGCAUCUCAUCCACUGAUGCUACAGGACGAGCAGAUGUUGAUGGCCCAGCCUAGGACGGCUGUGGUGACAACCAGGUAUGGGGGUUCCACGCUUUCAGAGUUUGCACAACUCUGGGUUGCUAUCCCGGGACGGCCUUCCCUGUGCAGGCUGUGGUUGGAGGAGGUAAUGAAGAACCAUCCCCUACCCUGAGCACUCCACACCAGCAUGUCCCAACGUAGAGCACCUACUGGGAGAGGUGUAUCCCCCAGACUGCUGAGCCCCACCCCCUGGGGCCUGAGUUUCCCAGGUGAUGCUGGGUGGUGGUCCUGACCCCACCCCAGGGCACACUGCUUCUCUGGAGGGCCUGUUCAGCCUCUGGCUUUGGAACUCACCGGCAUGCUCCAGUUUUGUGGAACAGCUCCAGAACAGUAGCCACCAGUGAAGGUUGCAUUAAUACCCACAAGACAGAUUGCAGCCACCAUCACACACCUGGAACCUGGGGUGGAAAGAGAUCGCCAGUUAAUUAAACCCAUUAGCAGUGUGCAACAGUCUCCACGCCCAGCCUGGCCUGCAGCUGGGGUUCCCUGGGCCUUUAAGACCAGCCUCUUCUGAGUCAAAUGCAAAGGGA